GACGAACGCUGUUGGCGUGCCUAACACAUGCAAGUCGAGCGAAGUGAGUACUACGGUACGAACUUAGCGGCGGACGGGUGAGUAACGCGUGGACAAUCUACCCUGUAGACUGGGAUAACACCUCGAAAGGGGUGCUAAUACCGGAUAAUGUCGAGAAGCGGCAUCGCUUUUCGAAGAAAGGAGAGAAUCCGCUAUAGGAAGAGUCCGCGUCCCAUUAGCUAGUUGGUGAGGGUAACGGCCCACCAAGGCGACGAUGGGUAGCCGGCCUGAGGGGGUGAACGGCCACACUGGAACGGAGACAAGGUCCAGCCUCCUACGGGAGGCAGCAGUGGGGAAUAUUGUGCAAUGGGGGAAACCCUGACACAGCAACGCCGCGUGAGCGAAGAAGGCCUUCGGGUUGUAAAGCUCAAUAGUAUGGGAAGAUAAUGACGGUACCAUACGUAAGCCCCGGCUAACUGCGUGCCAGCCGCCGCCGUAAUAC
rnacentral:rRNA from 1 species